UAUUGUUUUCUGAGUGACUAGUUUAAACAACUUCUUUAUCUGGUAUCUUUAUUUCACGUAAAUCCAGGUCUGACCGUGACGAAUCUGCGGACGAAACAUCUGGAGACGGAAACCAUCACCAGUUAACCUGAUCACCAGUUAAACUGGAACACCGGCUCACUGUGCUGCAUACAAUUACACACUACGUCGUACGAUUGAGACAAGGAAACUUGGAAUGACUUUUCAUAGGUUUCCCAGAGACUAUGGGUUGAGGAGGAAUUGGAAGUUUGUCGGCUUAGACCUGGUGUCAUUCCAUCAGUGUUAAACUUCCUGGCUCAUCUUGGAAGAGUACGUGCCAGAAAGACCACGACCAAGCAGCCUUGAGAUCUUAGGCAGCGUCUCCCUGAGGUCCCUCUCUAUCUCCCCACACAUCCACCAACCACUGGAACACAUCUCCAAAGUUCUGCUGGACCAGCUCAGCUUCCCCUCAGAAGAAGUGCCACCACCUGCCAGAUGAAGGAGCCUUUUGAGAGGCAGCUGGCAUCGUGAUUGGACUGUACUUUGGUCUGUUCCAAUCCAGCUUCAGCUCCAGAGACGGCAGGCGGGACGAGUCAACGGAGGCCGGGUGGACGAAGACAUGCAGCUGAGUACAAUCCAGAAAACAAAGGAGUGCAGCGGCCCAGAGCCAGAACAACAACAAAAAGAAAACAUCAUAGUAUAGCCUUUGGUUUGAAAAAACGCCAUCAUAUACAUCGUAUAUUGUACACAUAACAAGUCAAAGGAAAGAGACAUACAUUAUAGAAUUGUAGUAAUUGUGGGCUGACUGAUUUACUGAUUAUCAGUAUUUUAUUUUUUACUAAUUUACUGUAAUAAAUAUAUUUAAAAAUGGUGCUACUUUGGCUCAGAACCUUUAUCUACCUGUGGUCGCUCUGUCUUCUGGAGUGAUUUGAUUGGUUAUACGUAACGAAUAAAACUCCUUUAACUUAACAUCUGUAAACAAAACAAAAACGUAACAACAAAGUUUUCUGUUAGAGUUUGUGUUCUUCUAAGUUAAACUCAAAGAUUUUAAAUACUUUCAUUUACUGCAAAUGAAUAUCUACUCCAAAUGUCUCACUAAUAAUCAUUAUCAGCUUUAAAAACCCACAAAACACCCCUCUAUACUCGACGACACUUAGUACAGUCCGGUUCCCCCUUCUAUAAAUCUGCUUGGAAUCUUCCACUUCCUGUUUGUCAAAGUGGCCUUCUACCUGGACAGGUUUUGUUGGAGCUCAUGCAACAAACAUUUUGGGUAACUGCACUUUAAUAUGGUUGGAUGACACGGAAUUAGAGUCUGUUUUAAUGAGACUGAGUUAAGAUGUGUAGCUCUGUUAUUAAAUAGUAAAUUAUUUCUCAGAAUUCACAGAGAAAAGUCUGAAAUGUUUGCUAGGUUAGCGUCCCACAUGUUCUUUGGCUCAGCUAAAGUUAACUCUCUCCAACUUCUGGAUCUCUUGAGUUGCUUGUUGUUAAAAUAUCUUGCUGGAGGUGCUGAAGCUCAGAAAGUCUGAGAUGUUUGUUCAAAAUAAGCUCAUUCUCAAGUCUUAUCUGAACUGUCCUCUUUUGUUUGAACUUUCCCUAAACUUAGGAGUCAAUGACAGAGCAGCACAUCCAGACUCAGUCUCAUUUAUGUAGAGAUUAAACUUCAGUGUCAUUCAUUGAUGUUAAAGUGCAGUUUUUCAAAUGUUUGUUGCACAUGCUCCCGACCAAACCAGUCCAGGUGGAAGACGAUGUGAAGAGAAAGCUCCAGAGGAUGAAUAUCACACAUUUACGUUGGAAAUAAAUGUCCUUUAAUUAGA